UACGUAGGGUGCAAGCGUUAAUCGGAAUUACUGGGCGUAAAGCGUGCGCAGGCGGCUUUGUAAGUCUGUCGUGAAAUCCCCGGGCUCAACCUGGGAAUUGCGAUGGAGACUGCAAGGCUAGAAUCUGGCAGAGGGGGGGUAGAAUUCCACGUGUAGCAGUGAAAUGCGUAGAGAUGUGGAGGAACACCGAUGGCGAAGGCAGCCCCCUGGGUCAAGAUUGACGCUCAUGCACGAAAGCGUGGGGAGCAAACAGG
rnacentral:rRNA from 1 species